rnacentral:lncRNA from 10 species
CUAGCAUAAAAGCAGGCAGAGGAAUGUGGAAGGACAAGACUGGCUGAGUCUUCUGGCCUUCAUCUUUCUCCUACUGCUGGGUGCUUCCCGCCCUUGAACAUCAGACUUCAAGUUCUUCAGCAUUUGGAGUUUUUUGGACUUACACCAGUGGCUUGCGAGGGGCUCUUGGGCCUUUGGCCACAGACUAAAUGUUGUAUUGUUGGCUUCCCUACUUUUGAGGUUUGGAGAUGCGGACUGGCUUCCUUGUUCCUCAGCUUGCAGAUGGCCUACUGUGCGAUUUCACCUGGUGAUCAUCCUGCUGCCUGGAAUGCAUAUGUGAUGGCUGGAAUGCUAGCUCUAAUUUUGGAUCAUGAGGAAAAGUGCCACACCAUUGGAGAUGAGGGAUGAGCUGGAAGGGGUCCUGUGGCAGGGGAUCAUGUCCUGGGACAUACCAAGAGAGCAGCUUCUAGAGGACUGAUUAUCAGAGAGGAACUGGAAUGUGAAAAGACGUCUAACUAACCAUUAUUAAUGAUUCACUUGUAAUUUUCACUAAUGGAUGACCCACAUGAUUUCCUCUUCAAAGAAUUUGUCCAAAGCCACCCAUUUAAAAAAGAAAAGAAUGGAGGAUGGAAUCUCAUAAGUGAUCUUACCAUUUACAAAGCACAGUGUGAUUAAUCAAUUCUCCUUUAUAUUUUAGUGCCUACCGUGUUUCUUAAUUUGAUGGAGAAGCCUUCUUAUAAACACUCUUAGAAAAGCUAUAUGUAAUUAACUUUCUUCUUUGAGCAAAGGGACUUGUUUCUCUGAGAUGUCUAUAAAAGAUAAAGAGUUGAUGUGGGCCACACUCCUGCCUCUGCUUUCUCUUAGAGGUCUAAGGGUAAUUAGUGGACAAAAGCAGUCAAUUAAGCAGGUAUCUUCCCAGACACCAUGUCCACUCUUGAUGACUGUUGAAAACCUUAGAUAACCCCAUCAGGAACUGAGGUAAGGCCAUGAAUUGCCUUUAGUUUGAGCAUGGGUGAAUUUAAUCUCCUUAACCUAGUUAGGGAUUGGAAUCUGGCUCACCUUCAGGUUUUAUGAAUAAAGUUUUAUUGGAACACAGUCACUCCUAUUCGUUUUACAUCUAACUGUGGCUGCUUUUGUGCUACCAUAGCAGAGUUAAGUCACUCUAACAGAAAAUAGAUGGCUCACAAAGCCAAACAUAUUUUACUCCAUAGCCCUUUAAAAUCUGCUAACCUUUGAUAUGGUGACAGCAUGAAAUUUCUUUAAGCACUUGCCCAGUAUUAUAGAUUUUUUAUGAGCGAAUGUGAAUAUUAAUGUAAUGUAACUCAGGAAAGAAAUAUGUCUUGAACCCACAUUUAUAUAAAAUCAAUUUUGAUAGCAAGCUUAUUACUUCACAAAGAAAAAAAGUCUAUCCAUGUUUUUUCUGCUCAAAAAAAAUGUUGGCAGAGAAUGCUAUUAGAGUCAUAUAGGUAAAACAAACUUACAGGUAAAACAAGCUAAAUUUAACUUUUGCUCUAUGAAGUUUGCCAUGUUUCAAGGAAUAUAGUUAGACCCAGAAUGCCUUGAUAUUUUCAUAGUAAUGGGCCAUGCUCUAAUUUGGUGCUAUUUCCCUAUACUUAAUUGAGGAGCUAACAGUCAAUUGUGAGACUAAACCUUCAAUUAAUAAAAGCAGCAUGGGUCGAUCCUCAAAAGGAAAGCCCAUUUUUCUUGUCAGUGUGAGUCAGCCUCCUCUGUUUUUUUAUCUUGAUACAAAGGUAGAAAUAACCCCAAGUAAGCCAGGAACACUAUUCAGAUCUCAAAACGUUUGCUUAUUGUGAGUGCUCUCUUUUACAAGAUCAAAAAAAUUUCAUGAAUCAUUCUAAGCUGUUUACUGGGUUGGGGUCCACUGUUGUAGAAGUGUCUGUCUUGGAUGAGGUCUCAUGAUGAGAAACUAUUUAACCCUAAGAUGUUUCUUACUAAGUGACUCUUAGCUACUUAUAUAAUCAGAGACAGCCAUAAGAAUACAGAAGGAAUGCACGAAUAUACCCACCACUGGGAAGUUGUCAUCAGCUUUGCUCCAAAGGUCUUUUUCAUCAUUUUUCUAACUCUUCUGGAAAGUCGGGAGAUUCUCCCUCACUGCUGCAGACCAGAAAAACAUUGUACAUAUUAAGGCUCUCAGAUGAGAAAGGGUCUAAAGAAACUAUUAUGACAUAAUGAAUGUGCUGUUCUCUGUGCUCUGAAAGUGUAUGGGGAGGCUAAACAAUUAUCUUUGAGGUUUGUUAGUACCUAUGAAUUAUUCAUCAAUCUUAGAGUUUCUAAAAUUAUUCUCACAGAAUUAUCAUCUAGUGGGCAAAGAGGUCAUCUUGUCUGAUCACACCCAAACAGAAUUAUCCUUAAUACUCAUCACUUAAACAAAAACAAUUGGAAUAAAAAGACAGAACACUACACUGUUUAUGUAUUGUGUCCAAUAUUUACACACCAUAGAGAGAUAUAGAUUUUACAGAAUCUAAAUAUACAAAAUACCUAAUGGUUUAAUUUGAUUAAAUAACAGUAGUGAAUAUGCACACGAAGUGAGUUCCAUGUGUUACCAAAUUGCAAUUGACUAUGCUUUACAUGUUUUAAAAAUCAUCACUUUUGAUGAAACUUGCUCUUAGAUUCAGACUAGAUGUCUGUAUAGUCAUCAUUUUUAACACUGGCAGCAUAGUAAAGUCAACUGGGGAACUCUUAAAAGAAAUGUAUGUCUAGGGCCACACCACCGAAGACACCGAUUUCCUGGCAAUUGGUUUGGGAGAAGGCCCAGACAUCUGUAUUUUUAAAGUUCUGCGGGGUAGUCUAAUGUCAGCCAAGGUUGAAAAUCACUGCUUCACGUAGUAUAGCUAGAUAAGUGAGAUAGAGAGGUCUCCAUGUGCAGCUUCUAUUUUGAAAGUCAGUCAUGAUUCCUCAUUUUAGCAAGUUCUCUUUUUCUUUACCUCCUCUUUCCAUUCAGAAUUGAGUUCAAAUAUUUCUUUACAGCCAUUUGUUUUCUAAGGCGGGUAUAGUUGUCAGUGAAGACUGCAUCUGAGUGACGUUUGACUGGUACAGGGUCUUCUGAGAUGUUACUGCUAAGGAACAUGAGGAAAAGGAAAUCAAAGAGUUUUCACAAGAAAUGAUAAAUACACACAUGUUCCAGGUUUCUUGGAGCCACAUAAAAAGCAAUUCCCACCCAACUAAUUUUCUAUCAUAAAAAGACUAAAAGAAAAAUACAACUAAACCUAAGGAUGAAGGAAAGCAAGGAAUCAUCUGCCAUAUUUUGGCAUGGCCUGGGACUGUUUUAUGACACAUUCUGUACAGCUGAGCAAAUAAUUCAUCCAAAAAUAAAAAUUUGGGAAUAGCUGAAGUUGUGCUCUGCCAUUGGGAGAAAUUUUUUUUUUUUUUAAAAAAAACAUAAUUACUUCUUUAGAAGCUAUGCUACCCUGA